GCUCGUCUUCCUUGAGGUGACCGAAUGCUCUCUUCCAAUUGUAUCAAGCUGUUAUGUAUAGCCUGCAUGCCAAUUACAUGUAAACUGUUACAGAAAAUCAUUCAAGCCCAACAAAAGAUCAUCUGAUGAUGUGAAGAGCUUUGGUGACUGAGAUAUGAACAAAACAUAUGGGGUAGUCUCUAAGAUUUUGAGAUAGUGAUAUCCAGCUGAACAAAAAAAAACAACAAAUUGGUUGAGCUUAAACGAGUUCGUUCCAGCAUAAUGGCAUAACAUGUCUAAUAUGCCUACUGAUUUUCCACUGAUAUAUCUCAGGGAGGAGGUUGGUGCAACACCACGCAGAGCUGCUCCGAGCGCAAAAUGACCAACUUCGGUUCAUCUAAGUAUAUGGGAGCAGUAAACUUCACUGGGAUACUCAGCAAUGAUCACACAGAAAAUCCUGGUAUAGAAAGCUGGUUCUGUCAUGGAUUUCCUACUGUCUCCAUCAAGAUGCUUCUUUUAGGGCAUGUUCGUCAAUAGGGGGAUAUGCCAGGGGGAUUUUCCCUUUGAUCCUCUCCAGUCCACUUGGAUUGGGAAUGAAAGGAACAUGCCCUUUGGAGCACCUACAUAGUCUGUUAUCGUUUCCCAUGUCCCAACUAUUCAUAUUGGAAUUUGGAAUAAUGCAGAUGCAGUAACGCUUUGCACUAGUCAUCAAGUUUUGAAUUGUGUUUGUGAUCCUACUGCCUGAUAAAUGCGUCUUUGCACUAAUUUGAGUCAGUUGUCAUCAGAUUUCUACAACUGGAAUACAGUUGUCAUAAGGUACUGCGACGGAGCAUCAUUUGCUGGGGAUGCAGAGGGGGGAGAUCUGGUGAAUCUUUUUAAUUCUGGUUUGAACUGACCAUCUUAAUUUCUCAAACUGAUGCUGUACUGCCAUAUGUAUAGGAUGGAACCAAACUUUUCUUCAGAGGAUUACGUAUCUGGAAAGCAGUUGUAGAUGAACUCAUGGGAAAAGGAAUGGACGCUGCUAAACAGGUAUUCCAUCGAUUUCGUAUAGUUUGUCCAAUAAUUGCACAAAGAUUGACCACACAAGUCCUAACCAAGAGCCACGUCCAACUUUAUUUUCCCCUGCUUUCCAGGCCUUGCUUACAGGCUGUUCUGCUGGUUCUCUAGCUGCGCUACUGCACUGUGAUAAUUUCCAUGGACGGUUUCCUCAUGAAGUUUCAGUUAAAUGCCUUUCUGAUGCUGGAUUUUUUAUUGACGAGUAAGUCCCUAAAAAUUAGUAUGGCCAAUUAGCAUUGUACUUCACUAAAUGAAGUAUAUUUCUCUGCCACAGGAAGGAUUUAUCUGGAGAAAGAUCCAUGCGGUCGCUCAUCAGUGGAGUAGUUCACCUUCAGGUUAGUCGUGGAACACACUCAUUCACUUUCAAGAGAUCCCCAUCCUGGGAUGCACGACAAAAUUAUACACAGUUUGGUAGUAUAUGGUGACUGGAUUGCUUCUUUUCAUGGAUUUCUUCCAGAAUGUUAAAGAAGUUUUACCCAAUGACUGCCUCCAAAAGAAGGAUCCAACAGAGGCAAGUUAACAUUCUCUAAUUCCAUUCUCCUUUUAUGUUGCUUAAAUUCAUUUUGCUGACAUUUUGUUGCUCCCAGUGUUUCUUUCCUGCUGAACUGAUUAAGGGCAUCACCACCCCCACGUUUAUUCUGAACUCCGAUUACGAUUCUUGGCAGGUGACUACAAUCUUUAUGUUUCUUCCCAGUUGUCCAAUGGUUAAAUCCCUAACAACUACUUCAUUCUAGAUACGAAACAUUCUCGCACCAAAUGGAUCCUAUCCUGGCCAGGAAUGGUCUAGUUGCAAAGCAGAUAUCCGGAACUGCAGUUGCGCACAACUUGAUGUACUGCAUGGUCAGUCAAGCUUGCCAAUCUCUUUGCUUUCUUCAUCCAUUGGCGAUGACCCUGUAGGUUUCCAUUCCUUGUGUUGCAGGAUUCAAGAAGAAAUUAGUCAGUGAAUUGAAGGUUGCCGAAGAUAACAAGGACUGGGGCCUGUUCAUUGAUUCAUGCUUUACCCACUGUCAAACACCAUUCGAUAUCACAUGGAAUUCACCGAUCUCACCAAGGCUCGGCAACAAGGUGCGUGCGGUCUAAAUCAAGUGAACUGUACAUUGCAAUAGCAUGCUGUUUGUUUUCUGUCUUCACUUGGACUGAUAUUUUCUAAACUCCUGUCGUUUGCGUAGCAGUCUAUCUCAGAGGCCGUUGGGGAUUGGUAUUUCGAUAGAAGGCAAAACGCGAAACAGAUUGACUGCGAGUACCCAUGCAACCCCACAUGCAGCAGUCUUCUGCCUACUGCUUGAUUCGCAAAGGGCUGCACUGAGAUCACCAGGCUUUUCUCAUUUUUCAAAUUAGUUUUGCUGAGGAUUCAAAAGGGAGCUUUGCCUUAUUGGUAAAACCUGCAAUUGACUAAACACGACUUGCAGUAGUUGUGCUUCCAUCAAAAGCAAUAUGUCAGAACCGUUAAGCACCAAACUUUCAGGAACUGUGCCUCGUAACUUCCACGUUCAAAGAAAUUCCAGCAGAGCCCACCCCCUUAGCCUCUUACAAAAUCACCAGUUCGCAUGAAAACCCAGCAAUGGAAGCUCAUAAGGCCUACUAAAUCCACACGAUUACCCUGAACUCGGCACCAAGUCAAACCCUAAUUAAGCAAAGAAAGCCCAUCCGCAAAUAUAGGACUCGAGAACUCACCUCCACCCUGCGUCCAACGGCUUCACGUGCCCUCGCUUACCCGUCCUCCAGUUCCUCUCGCCAUUGCAUUGCUGCUGUCCUCGUCACAGCCGCCGGCACCAGACUCGCUGAGGUGUGCGGUGACAGCGAAACCCUGGGCCUCUGGGCUCACUCGCACCAAUAGGCCUUCCGACCAGCCCAAGCCACCUGCCAAGUUGAAG
rnacentral:lncRNA from 1 species